GACGAACGCUGGCGGCGUGCCUAAUACAUGCAAGUCGAACGCACUCUCGUUUAGAUUGAAGGAGCUUGCUCCUGAUUGAUAAACAUUUGAGUGAGUGGCGGACGGGUGAGUAACACGUGGGUAACCUGCCCUAAAGUGGGGGAUAACAUUUGGAAACAGAUGCUAAUACCGCAUAAAACCUAAACACCGCAUGGUGUAGGGUUGAAAGAUGGUUUCGGCUAUCACUUUAGGAUGGACCCGCGGUGCAUUAGUUAGUUGGUGAGGUAAAGGCUCACCAAGACCGUGAUGCAUAGCCGACCUGAGAGGGUAAUCGGCCACACUGGGACUGAGACACGGCCCAGACUCCUACGGGAGGCAGCAGUAGGGAAUCUUCCACAAUGGACGAAAGUCUGAUGGAGCAACGCCGCGUGAGUGAAGAAGGUUUUCGGAUCGUAAAACUCUGUGUUGGAGAAGAAUGUAUCUGAUAGUAACUGAUCAGGUAGUGACGGUAUCCAACCAGAAAGCCACGG
rnacentral:rRNA from 1 species